AUGCCCCCCUUCGAAGAAGAGGGGGUAUAUUGCUUUGCUCAUGUCGGUCGGUCGGUCCGUCCACCAGGUGGUUGUCAGACGAUUACUCAAGAACGCUUGGGCCUAGGAUCAUGAAACUUCAUAGGGACAUUGAUCAUGACUUGCAGAUGACCACUAUUGAUUUUGAGGUCACUAGGUCAAAGGUCAAGGUCACGGUGACCCGAAAUAGUAAAAUGGUUUCCGGAUGAUAACUCGAGAAUGCUUAGGCCUAGGAUCAUGAAACUUGAUAGGUAGAUUGAUCAUGACUCGCAGAUGACCCCUAUUGAUUUUCAGGUCACUAGGUCAAAGGUCAAGGUCACGAUGACCCGAAAUAGUAAAAUGGUUUCCGGAUGAUAACUCAAGAACGCUUAGGCCUAGGAUCAUGAAACUUGAUAGGUAGAUUGAUAAUGACUCGCAGAUGACCCCUAUUGAUUUUCAGGUCACUAGGUCAAAGGUCAAGGUCACGAUGACCCGAAAUAGUAAAA